GUACGCUAUUCAGAGUUUGAUCCUGGCUCAGGACGAACGCUGGCGGCGUGCUUAACACAUGCAAGUCGAACGGGCGGAUUUGGUAGCUUGCUAUCAUUGAAGCUAGUGGCAAACGGGUGAGUAACGCGUAGGCAACCUGCCUCUUGGAUGGGGACAACAUUCCGAAAGGGAUGCUAAUACCGAAUGAUGUAUAAUUUCCGCAUGGGGAUUAUACCAAAGACCGUUACGGCGGUCACCAGGAGAUGGGCCUGCGUCUGAUUAGCUAGUUGGUGGGGCAACGGCCCACCAAGGCGACGAUCAGUAGCCGGUCUGAGAGGAUGAACGGCCACAUUGGGACUGAGACACGGCCCAG
rnacentral:rRNA from 1 species